AUCACGGCGGCUAUUAAAACCACA
rnacentral:snRNA from 1 species